CCUUGUCCCGGCGUUCAGAGUGUGACUCCGCUGCUCUAGUUUCUCGACCCGUACCCGUGUGGAUAACACGCCCGCCCGGAGUGAGGGGUGGGCGCAACAAUAACAUCUUUGUUGGCCCUGUCGAAGGCACUCUUGAGAUCAACGAAAGCUCUGCAGGAGUGAGUGAGGCAGGAUGAGUCUGAUGGGUGCUUAGGCUGAGAGUCACGCCGCAGGGUCAGGGAGGGGUACGGCCGGCAGUAUGGUGACCCCUACGGCGGCGGCAGAAAGAAGAGGCACAGUGGGCAAGACUGGGAAGGCAGACAGAAGAGGAGGAUGGACUGGGACGACCAGUACUAUGGGUCUGGCUGCGGCAUCCUACCCACCCCCCAGAUGCCCCCACGCUAACUGCCCCGGCGCAACCCUAACAUUGGCCCUGCACACUCCUGGGGUGUGGUUGGGGGGUUUGUACUGGGGCGGCCAGGGCGGGGGCUGGGUGGAGCAACAGGGCCGGGGCACAAGAUGAAGAAAACGUUGCCGGCUAAGAAGAAAAUAGGAGCUAAGGAGGUUAAGACAAGUGGUGGUGGUGGUGGUGGUGCUGGUGGUGGUAUGAAACUGAGAAUAAGAAUGCAUCAUCAGUCUGAUGAUAUUUGGAAUAUCAAUUAUUUAACUUCUGCAACACCUGAGGACAAGACAGAAGCCAGGCAGGAGGGUCAUAGGAUGCCAGUUGGAUGUGGUGAAGGAUGUUUUUUGUCUGGGAAGGAUAAUGAGGAAGUGAAAUUGAGUUGCUGAUCUGUAGAUAAAAUGAUAAAAGAUGAAUAAGUGAAAUGAAAAAAAAAAAAAAUGUGGUGUUUUGGAAUGUAUAGAACAGUGGGGCUUAGUGUGUGUGUGUGUGUGUGUGCUGGGGGGAUGUAUCUUUGUUAAUUAGAAAGAAUAUAAGAGAUGAAUAUAAUGGUGGGAUAUAUAGCAAUUUUUUUUAGUUCAGAAGAAAUAAGUUUGGUUUGAGUUUAUAUAUGAAUGAGAAAAAGGCUAAAAGAGAGAGAGAGAGAGAGAGAUUUAUAAUGAACUGGAAUGUAAAGCAGUACAAAGCUGUAAAAGAAAGGGAUUGAUGUUUAGUUUAGAUUAAUUUGUGUAAAGUAGAGUAAAAAAAUGAUGUGUUUUGAGUUGAUGUAUCAGUGUAACCUAGAAAAUGGAGGAGAAAUUAUUGUUUCUUUAAAUUUUUUGUCAUUGUAAACUAGAAAAUAUAAAUAGUUUUUUUUCAUUCUAUAGAUCAUUAUAAAAUUGAAAAAUAAUAUAGCAGUGGUGUUUAUAU